UACGGAGGGGGCUAGCGUUAUUCGGAAUCACUGGGCUUAAAGGGCGCGUAGGCGGCCGAGCGGGUCGUGGGUGAAAUCCCCCAGCUUAACUGGGGAACUGCUUACGAUACCACUGCGGCUCGAGGAAGGAAGGGGCAAUUGGAACUGUCGGUGGAGCGGUGAAAUGCGUUGAUAUCGACAGGAACGCCUGUGGCGAAAGCGAAUUGCUGGUCCUUUUCUGACGCUGAGGCGCGAAAGCCAGGGGAGCAAACGGG
rnacentral:rRNA from 1 species